UACAGAGGGGGCAAGCGUUAUUCGGAAUUAUUGGGCGUAAAGGGUGCGUAGGCGGCCAUUCAAGUGACGGGUGAAAGCCCUCGGCUUAACCGAGGAACUGCCUGUCAGACUGGAUGGCUUGAGACCGGGAGAGGUGAGUGGAAUUCCCAGUGUAGCGGUGAAAUGCGUAGAUAUUGGGAGGAACACCAGUGGCGAAGGCGGCUCACUGGACCGGAACUGACGCUGAGGCGCGAAGGCCAGGGGAGCAAACGGG
rnacentral:rRNA from 1 species